GGUGGAGAGUUUGGGGAGUGGCUACUGCAGCAGGUGGAGAGUUUGGGGUGUGGCUACUGUAGCAGGUGGAGAGUUUGGGGAGUGGCUACUGUAGCAGGUUGAGAGUUUGGGGCGUGGCUACUGUAGCAGGUGGAGAGCUUGGGGAGUGGCUACUGUAGCAGGUGGAGAGUUUGGGGUGUGGCUACUGUAGCAGUUUGAGAGUUUGGGGAGUGGCUACUGUAGCAGGUGGAGAGUUUGGGGAGUGGCUACUGUAGCAGGCUGAGAGUUUGGGGUGUGGCUACUGUAGCAGUUUGAGAGUUUGGGGAGUGGCUACUGUAGCAGGUGGAGAGUUUGGGGAGUGGCUACUGCAGCAGGUGGAGAGUUUGGGGUGUGGCUACUGUAGCAGGUGGAGAGUUUGGGGAGUGGCUACUGCAGCAGGUGGAGAGUUUGGGGAGUGGCUACUGUAGCAGGUGGAGAAUUUGGGGUGUGGCUACUGUAGCAGGUGGAGAGUUUGGGGCGUGGCUACUGUAGCAGGUGGAGAGCUUGGGGAGUGGCUACUGUAGCAGGUGGAGAGUUUGGGGAGUGGCUACUGCAGCAGGUGGAGAGUUUGGGGAGUGGCUACUGUAGCAGGUGGAGAAUUUGGGGUGUGGCUACUGUAGCAGGUUGAGAGUUUGGGGCGUGGCUACUGUAGCAGGUGGAGAGCUUGGGGAGUGGCUACUGUAGCAGGUGGAGAGUUUGGGGUGUGGCUACUGUAGCAGUUUGAGAGUUUGGGGAGUGGCUACUGUAGCAGGUGGAGAGUUUGGGGAGUGGCUACUGUAGCAGGCUGAGAGUUUGGGGUGUGGCUACUGUAGCAGUUUGAGAGUUUGGGGAGUGGCUACUGUAGCAGGUGGAGAGUUUGGGGAGUGGCUACUGUAGCAGGCUGAGAGUUUGGGGUGUGGCUACUGUAGCAGGUGGAGAGUUUGGGGAGUGGCUACUGCAGCAGGUAGAGAGUUUGGGGAGUGGCUACUGUAGCAGGUGGAGAGUUUGGGGAGUGGCUACUGUAGCAGGUGGAGAGUUUGGGGAGUGGCUACUGUAGCAGGCUGAGAAUUUGGGGUGUGGCUACUGUAGCAGGUGGAGAGCUUGGGGAGUGGCUACUGUAGCAGGUUGAGAGUUUGGGGCGUGGCUACUGUAGCAGGUGGAGAGCUUGGGGAGUGGCUACUGUAGCAGGUGGAGAGUUUGGGGAGUGGCUACUGUAGCAGGCUGAGAGUUUGGGGUGUGGCUACUGUAGCAGUUUGAGAGUUUGGGGAGUGGCUACUGUAGCAGGUGGAGAGUUUGGGGAGUGGCUACUGCAGCAGGUGGAGAGUUUGGGGUGUGGCUACUGCAGCAGGUGGAGAGUUUGGGGAGUGGCUACUGUAGCAGGUGAAGAGUUUGGGGAAUGGCUACUGUAGCAGGUGGAGAUUUUGGGGAGUGGCUACUGUAGCAGGUGGAGAGAUUGGGGAGUGGCUACUGUAGCAGGUGGAGAGAUUGGGGAGUGGCUACUGUAGCAGGUGGAGAGUUUGGGGAGUGGCUACUGAGAAUUUGGGGUGUGGCUUCUGUAGCAGGUGGCAAGUUUGGGGCGUGGCUACUGAGAAUUUGGGGUGUGGCUUCUGUAGCAGGUUGAGCCAGAGGGUGUUUAGCCACUGUGGGAUCAUGACUGUAGACAAUCAGCUUCAGUUAUAGAAGUGAAAGCCAAAAUUCACCAGCUUGAUUAAACAGCACAUGAACACGUCAAAGCGAAUGGGACAAUGCGAUGAAACGCUCUACAAUGAACGCUUCAAUACUAUACAGCAUCAUCAUGCAUACAUUCAGAAAGACAAAUGAUCCAGUCAAUAAUGUUUACAGUAUAGACAGACAAAGGUCACCAUCAGAUUUAACUCUCUGAGGGACAGAUAGUAGAAUUGGCCAAUUAUUAUAGCUAUGAGUAUCAGGAAGGGCCAUGUAUUUUCCAUUGAAUGAUUGUUGGGCAAGUUUUCAGAAAAACUGUCUGAAAUGAUUAUUUUUGUGAUUAUGUUUGGUGAUGAUAGUGGUGCAUAUAUUACAUACCUCUUCUACACUAAUUCUAAAGUCAUUGAGAUUAACUACUAAAACUCAUUCUACUUCCAUUCUGUUCUCCCCACG